UACAGAGGUCUCAAGCGUUGUUCGGAUUCAUUGGGCGUAAAGGGUGCGUAGGCGGCGCGGUAAGUCGGGUGUGAAAUCUUGGAGCUUAACUCCGAAACUGCAUUCGAUACUGCCGGGCUAGAGUCCGGAAGAGGCGAGUGGAAUUCCUGGUGUAGCGGUGAAAUGCGCAGAUAUCAGGAGGAACACCAAUGGCGAAGGCAGCUCGCUGGGACGGUACUGACGCUGGAGGCGACGAAAGCGUGGGGAGCAAACAGG
rnacentral:rRNA from 1 species